rfam:Streptomyces sp. SPB74 genomic scaffold supercont3.1, whole genome shotgun sequence.
ACGUCCACCCGGUGGAACGCUCCGACGCGCGAAAGGCCCGGCCCGUUAGGCUGCCCCCAUGCGCGCCGCCCCGCAGGGGCACCGCAAAGCCGACAGCCGUCGCACCUCAGGGAGCACACCCAUG